GAUGCAUUCAUUGCCAUAUGGGAUCGUGA
rnacentral:sRNA from 1 species